CGCGGGGUAGAGCAGCGGUAGCUCGUCAGGCUCAUAACCUGAAGGUCGUAGGUUCAAUUCCUACCCCCGCAACCA
rnacentral:tRNA from 1 species